ACUACGGGUGGCUGCAGUGGGGAAUAUUGGGCAAUGGGCGCAAGCCUGACCCAGCAACGCCGCGUGAAGGAAGAAGGCUUUCGGGUUGUAAACUUCUUUUGUCAGGGAAGAGUAGAAGACGGUACCUGACGAAUAAGCCACGGCUAACUACUUGCCAGCAGCCGCGGUCAUACGGAGGUGGCAGGCGUUGUCCGGAUUUACUGGGUGGAAAGGGCGUGUAGCCGGGUUGACAAGUCAGCUGUGAAAUCCUGCGGCUUAACCGAAGAACUGCAGUUGAAACUGUGGAUCUUGAGUACUGGAGAGGCAGAUGGAAUUCCUAGGGUAGCGGUGAAAUGCGGAGAUAUUAGGAGGAACACCAGUGGCGAAGGCGGUCUGCUGGACAGCAACUGACGGUGAGGCGCGAAAGCGUGGGGAGCAAACAGGAUUAGAUACCCCUGUAGUC
rnacentral:rRNA from 1 species